GGACAGGCGCUUGCACAGGGUGAGGCAUUGGGCAGGACCUGGGCUCGCGACCCCCAAGAAAGCCGAGCACCAGGGAGCUGCUGGGGGCCCUGUCCUCUGUCUGGACAGCCCACUUCUCCCCAAAUGCAGGUAGGAUCCGAAACGCCCGUGCGGUGGGAUGGCAGCACUUCCAAGUACUAGGUGUGAUAUUUGCCGCCAGCAUCAGCACAAACCAGGCCUCUUGGUAGAAGAAACUGCCCUGGACUUGCUUCAAGGACCUGAGCGAGCAAACACUUCCUGCACCAGUUUGUACAGCCAGCCCCUGCAAGUCCUGGCCAGGUCCUGGGUCCUCACCACGAUCCCAUUGACCACACAGGUCAUUUGGUGACUUUGAGGGACAGGCAAGCUCACCCGUAAAAGGAGAAAAUGCAUUUUGCUGAGCUCAGACUGGACUAGACGUGCUUAUAGAGUAAGAUAGGACUCUAGGCUUCAACUUUGUUUGCUGCAAGGAUGUUAGGCUUUGGGACAGUGGUGCUUUGGUGGUUUUCAGUCAGAAAAAAAAAAAAAAGGAGAAAAUUCACAGCUCAGCAUUGUCUUCUGCUAUAUGGGGACCAAGGAUUACACUGAGAGCCCGGCGUGGACUUUUACCAGUGCAGGGCACUAUGGGGAAGACCGUAUGGCUUCUGAAGUCAUCGCUUCUUGCAUUGAAUCCAGGCUCUGCCAUUAGGCUUAGACCCUGAAGAUGCCCUGCUGUUGGAAGAAGACACAGCAGCCACACAACCUCAUACUCCGAUUUGAAAAUCCCCUUCCAGCGGACCUAUCCUGCAGGCCCUUGAAUUGACCCCUUAAAGUCUUCGAAGCAUCACACCCGCCGCCCCUCCUCGGCUGUCUUGUGACCACAACCCCUUGACUCUUCCCGACAACAUUUGCACCGACUUAGUAUUCUGGUGCUUUGGGGAGCAACAUUUAAAAAUAAACCAACUUGGCACACUGUC
rnacentral:lncRNA from 1 species